GAUUGUAUAAACAAUUUUAUAAAACGAAGACUGCAACGUCGUCUUCUUCUUCUUCUAGGAAGAUUGAAGCGUAUUAUAAUAGGGAAAUUUCAGAAUAAGAUUUAGUGAUGCCCAUGUGAUGGUUUAAGAGUAGUUAUUCUCUGGACUUUGCUGGCAAAGGAUAAGAUAGUAUGAGUAUUCAUUGACGUGUUUUUAACAGUUUGCAAUGUAGUGUCCACCAUUAACUACCACUAAAAGUCCACAUUACUUGAUGCAUGGCUUCCUUUCAAAGCUUUGUUGG